rnacentral:rRNA from 1 species
UCCUACGGGGGGCAGCAGUGAGGAAUAUUGGUCAAUGGCCGGGAGGCUGAACCAGCCAAGUCGCGUGAGGGAAGACGGCCCUACGGGUUGUAAACCUCUUCUGUCAGGGAGCAAGGUGCAGGUCGGGACCUGCUGUGAGAGUACCUGAAGAAAAAGCAUCGGCUAACUCCGUGCCAGCAGCCGCGGUAAUACGGAGGAUGCGAGCGUUAUCCGGAUUUAUUGGGUUUAAAGGGUGCGCAGGCGGAUUUUUAAGUCAGCGGUCAAAUCGUGGGGCUCAACCUCAUCCAGCCGUUGAAACUGGGGAU